rnacentral:rRNA from 1 species
UGGGGAAUAUUGCACAAUGGGCGCAAGCCUGAUGCAGCCAUGCCGCGUGUGUGAAGAAGGCCUUCGGGUUGUAAAGCACUUUCAGCGAGGAGGAAGGUGGUGAACUUAAUACGUUCAUCAAUUGACGUUACUCGCAGAAGAAGCACCGGCUAACUCCGUGCCAGCAGCCGCGGUAAUACGGAGGGUGCAAGCGUUAAUCGGAAUUACUGGGCGUAAAGCGCACGCAGGCGGUUUGUUAAGUCAGAUGUGAAAUCCCCGGGCUCAACCUGGGAACUGCAUUUGAAACUGGCAAGCUAGAGUCUCGUAGAGGGGGGUAGAAUUCCAGGUGUAGCGGUGAAAUGCGUAGAGAUCUGGAGGAAUACCGGUGGCGAAGGCGGCCCCCUGGACGAAGACUGACGCUCAGGUGCGAAAGCAUGGGGAGCAAACAGGAUUAGAUACCCUGGUAGUCCACGCUGUAAACGAUGUCGAUUUUGGAGGUUGUGCCCUUGAGGCGUGGCUUCCGGAGCUAACGCGUUAAAGUCGACCGCCUGGGGGAGUACGGCCGCAAGGUUAAAACUUAAAGGAAUUGAC